UCAAUGAUGCCGCACACAUCCUCUCAUCUCGUCACCAAUGGCCUGGAUGUGGCAGCUGCCGUCAACAUCCCAACCGUCACCAGCACCACAUGUUGAAUGACAUUGGCAUCGUGUCACCGGGGCAGCAGCUCAACACCAGCAUUAUUCUGACAAGGAGCGAGAAAACUGUUGAUUUUGCGAAGAACAAUUGUCACUGUAUUGCUUUCAAGGCGGAUGUUCCAUAGACAAACAAGUAUGCAAUCAACACUGCAUGAUUUCAACUGGUUUCCAAUCAUGGAAAGAAGGAACAACAUGAGCUAAAAGAUGCAGAAAAACAGGAUUAGGCCCGCAGAUUGUUGUCAAGGAGAACAUUAAGCUAUGAGGGUGUUUUUUUGGGCAACACCGGCGAUGGUCUCAGCAGCUAAAUGAUGGUGAACUGUAGCUGUUGU